rnacentral:tRNA from 2 species
CGAAACAUCGCUUAGGGGUUAGAGCAUCUGAUUUGGGAUCAGAAUUUCGUAAGUUCGAAUCUUACUGUUUCGU